rnacentral:tRNA from 1 species
GCAUUGGUGGUCCAGUGGUAGAACUCUCGCCUUCCAUGCGGGACACCAGGUUCAUUUCCCAGCCAAUGUC